CGAACUUGUGUGGUUCCCGGCUCAUCCUGCCUUUUUCGGGUCAUUGGGUUGGUGUUGGAGUUGUUCGCCAUAUUCUGAACGUUUCACCUAUCAUUGCGGCGUACUGUUCUUGAUCUGCUGCGAGGCAACGAACCGCAACGGCAGUCACUCGCCUCAGCGAAAUUCUGUCUGCUGCAUAUCAAAGGAGCAUCGGGACCUGAUGAUGUACUCCAAAUGCUGAAGUUGAAUUCUUUGUACCUUCAUCUAAAGAAACCAAGUGUGCUCUCGUGUGGUUCUGACGGAAAAGCAGUUUCAACAAGAACCCUCCGCUUCAUGAACCCAGUUAUACUUUAUGUGACCCUUCUGAUGGCUCCUUACUGUAGGCUGUGCCGCUCUGAAGCAUUGAGAUGACGAAAGGUCGUGGGUGCUGCACCUCUACUUUCGAAAGAACCGGUACCGGAUCGUUUAUGAUAUAACUGGAACGAAAACCGGAACGAAAAACGUUUCGGUUCGACACCCUGCCUGGACUGCCUUUUUCAAGGAAGUUCGAAAUAGCAUCCCUUAUGCACCUGCAUUUCAAUUAAGAUCUGUGUUACAAGAAUGACAGACCACUCAACAGCGAUGAACAUUUGAAGGUGGAAGUGCUGGAACGAAGAUGCGUUAAUCUGUGUGAAAGGUGCUUUGAAAGGGCAUAGGUCGCAAGCUAAUUUCUGUCUGCAGAAGAGGUGUCAACUAUGCUCCUUCUAUCUACUAACCAGCUCCACUUUUUAGGGUUCCCUGUAGACAAAUGGAGCAUACCAUAUACCAGCACGUUGUUAACCAUGUUGAGUCUAUCAAUUUCUUUUUUUAAAUUCCAGCAUGGCUUUAGAAAAGGGUAUUUAGGCAAAACUAACAUAAUUCGGUCACAGCAUUUUAAACUGUCUUGAUUUCUUGGUCCACGUAGGUGCAGUAUUUUUUUAUUUUAUGAGGGCUUUUGACACUGCUCGCUUUUUGUCCAAACUAGCCUCAUUAAAAUUUGAUCCUUUUACCAUUAACUGGAUAUGCAGUUCCUUGAUUAACCGCAACCGUGUCAACAAUUCGUGAGGAGAACCUAUCAUAUCGCCACCAUGCAGCGUUUGUCACAUUACAUUUGCAUCACAUUUUAACCUAGUGUGAAGCAAGGCCUUCAGGUGAUCGGUCUUGUAUAAUUACACGCCCCUUCGUUAUGUAAAACCACACGGUCCUACAUCCUAUGACAGAUAAAUAAAUCUAUUGCCAAGUAAAUUGUUUACAAGGCUCAUUACCCCCUUUCACCACAUUACCGCAAGCAAUUGUUAGAGUAGUGGCCCAGGGUAUGAAGCUCGCCACAUCAUUCAAACAAGGUUCAUAAUGUAGAAUACUUUACUGAAAACACCGACUUAACACAAAGAUUGAUAACAAAGAGAGUGAACGUUUCAUUGCCUAUCCGGGUGGCAUCAUCGCUACAACAGAGAACAGUCAAAAACAACAUUGAAGGAGUCAAAUCAGUGGUGUGCGUUCCUUUUAUCCAAGGUGUUUCAUAUGCCAUUUGAAGGGCACUCUGCCCAUCAGGCAUUAAGACUUUGCAUAUAAAGUUAAGUGCAUAGCCUGUGAUGCCACCUACAUUGGCGAGACAGACAAAAGACGUGGGACAAGACUAAAAGACCACACAAGGGACGUUGCCAAGGCUUCUAAUGUUACUCAAACCAGGACCGAACCCUGUGUGCGCGCUGUGUUUUUAGCGACUUCAAUGCAGGACCAAACCAAUUUUGAGUGCCUAAAUUUUAACA